ACUGGUGAGUAACACGUGAACAACCUGCCCUUACAUUCCGGAUAGCCGGCCGAAAGGCCGGAUAAUACGGGCGAGGAUCUUUUUAAGGCAUCUUAGAAAGAAGGAAGGCGCAAGCCGUGCAAGGAGGGGUUCGCGGACUAUCAGGUAGUUGGUGAGGUAACGGCUCACCAAGCCGACGACGGAUAGCUGGUCUGAGAGGAUGGUCAGCCACACUGGGACUGAGACACUGCCCAGACUCCUACGGGAGGCUGCAGUCGAGAAUCUUGGACAAUGUACGAAAGUAUGAUCCAGCGACGCCGCGUGGAGGAUGAAGGAGCUAUGCUUCGUAAACUCCUUUUAUGAGGGAAGAAGAUCUGACGGUACCUCAUGAAUAAGCCACGGCUAACUACGUGCCAGCAGCCGCGGUAAUACGUAGGUGGCAAGCGUUGUCCGGAAUUACUGGGCGUAAAGGGUGUGUAGGCGGACGUUUAAGUAGAAAGUGAAAGGUUGGAGCUCAACUCCAACAUUGCUUCCUAUACUGGAUGUCUUGAGUUUCGGAGAGGAAGAUGGAACGACACGUGUAGCGGUGAAAUGCGUUGA
rnacentral:rRNA from 1 species